UACGAAGGGGGCUAGCGUUGCUCGGAAUUACUGGGCGUAAAGGGCGCGUAGGCGGACAGUUUAGUCAGAGGUGAAAGCCCAGGGCUCAACCUUGGAAUUGCCUUUGAUACUGGCUGUCUUGAGUUCGGGAGAGGUGAGUGGAAUGCCGAGUGUAGAGGUGAAAUUCGUAGAUAUUCGGCGGAACACCAGUGGCGAAGGCGACUCACUGGCCCGAUACUGACGCUGAGGCGACGAAAGCGUGGGGAGCAAACAGG
rnacentral:rRNA from 1 species